rnacentral:rRNA from 1 species
GAUGAACGCUGGCGGCGUGCUUAACACAUGCAAGUCGAACGGAAAGGCCCAAGCUUGCUUGGGUACUCGAGUGGCGAACGGGUGAGUAACACGUGGGUGAUCUGCCCUGCACUUCGGGAUAAGCCUGGGAAACUGGGUCUAAUACCGGAUAGGACCACAUUUUGGAUGGUGUGGUGGAAAGUUUUUCGGUGUGGGAUGAGCUCGCGGCCUAUCAGCUUGUUGGUGGGGUAAUGGCCUACCAAGGCGUCGACGGGUAGCCGGCCUGAGAGGGUGUACGGCCACAUUGGGACUGAGAUACGGCCCAGACUCCUACGGGAGGCAGCAGUGGGGAAUAUUGCACAAUGGGCGCAAGCCUGAUGCAGCGACGCCGCGUGGGGGAUGACGGCCUUCGGGUUGUAAACUCCUUUCGCUAGGGACGAAGCGCAAGGGACGGUACCUGGAGAAGAAGCACCGGCUAACUACGU